GUAGGUUAAUAUUAGAUAUGUCAGCGAUCGGUUUGGUGUGGAAGCUGGCCUCGCAUAUAAGGUGUUUCUGAAAAUAAAAUGAUUUGCCGCUUGAAGGGAGAUGUAAUCAAAUUUCCCAAAACUGCAGCGAAACAAAAACAAGUAAAUGAAGAAUUUACAAACCUGCGGUAUAAUCCUUUUCCGUUUGUAAUUGGAUGCAUCGACGGAACUCAUAUUCCAAUUUCUCAGCCAAUCAAAGAUGAAAUCAGCUAUCGCAACCGAAAGGGAACGUAUUCAAUCACUGCACAGAAUUCUCAAAUACAUUGAAGCUCAACGUCCAUUUAUGCCAAAAUUAUUUACAAUGGCAUGCAUGAUUGUUCAUAACAUAAUAAUUGAAAAUGAAGGCUACUUAAUCGAUGAAAUAGAUGAAGAAAAAGCACAUACUGAGCCCCAAAUAGUCGAAGAUACGACUACAUUAGGACAAAGGGAGGCAAAAGCAAAAAGGAAUGCACUGGGCACGCUAUUGUCUGCCUAAUUGAAAACAGUUUGGCC